rnacentral:misc_RNA from 1 species
AGCAGCCGCGGUAAUUCCAGCUCCAAUAGCGUAUAUUAAAGUUGUUGCAGUUAAAAAGCUCGUAGUUGAAUUUCGGGGUUAGCAGGUCGGUCGUGCCAUCGGUAUGAACUGGUCUCGCUGAUCCCUCCCUCUUGACGAACUGUGAUGCCAUUAAUUUGGUGUCGCAGGGAAUCAGGACUGUUACUUUGAAAAAUUAGAGUGUUUAAAGCAGGCUCACGCUUGAAUACAUUAGCAUGGAAUAAUGAAAUAGGACGUUUGAUCCUAUUUUGUUGGUUUCUAGGAUUGACGUAAUGAUUAAUAGGGAUAGUUGGGGGCAUUAGUAUUCAAUUGUCAGAGGUGAAAUUCUUGGAUUUAUUGAAGACUAACUACUGCGAAAGCAUUUGCCAAGGAUGUUUUCAUUAAUCAAGAACGAAAGUUAGGGGGAUCGAAGACGAUCAGAUACCGUCGUAGUCUUAACCAUAAACUAUGCCGACUAGGGAUCGGAUGAUGUUAAUUUUUAAUGACUCAUUCC